rnacentral:rRNA from 1 species
CCUACGGGAGACAGCAGUGAGGAAUAUUGGUCAAUGGACGAGAGUCUGAACCAGCCAAGUAGCGUGAAGGAUGACUGCCCUAUGGGUUGUAAACUUCUUUUAUAAAGGAAUAAAACGAGGCACGUGUGCCUUUUUGCAUGUACUUUAUGAAUAAGGAUCGGCUAACUCCGUGCCAGCAGCCGCGGUAAGACGGAGGAUCCGAGCGUUAUCCGGAUUUAUUGGGUUUAAAGGGAGCGUAGAUGGGUUGUUAAGUCAGUUGUGAAAGUUUGCGGCUCAACCGUAAAAUUGCAAUGGAUACUGGCAGUCUUGAGUACAGUUGAGGGAGGCGGAAUUCGUGGUGUAGCGGUGAAAUGCUCAGAUAUCACGAAGAACCCCGAUUGCGAAGGCAGCUUACUAAACUGAGACUGACACUGAUGCUCGAAAGUGUGGGUAGCAAACAGGAUUAGAUACCCCUGUAGUC